AUGACCCCCAGCCUGGCCAUCGCCUUCCUCCCGCUGCUCCCCGCGGGUGUCUAUUCCCAGGUCAGCCUGGUGGAGUCCGGAGGGGGAGUCAGGAAGCCCGGGGAGACCCUCAGACUGAUCUGCACCGUGUCCGGAUUCUCUCUCACCAGCUACGACGUGCACUGGGCCCACCAGCCGGCGGGAAAAGGGUUAGAUUGGAUGGGAGUUAUCUGGGGUGAUGGGGGCACUGCUUAUAGCAAUGCUCUCAAAAGUAGACUCCCCAUCACCAGAGACACCUCCAAAGGCCAAGUGUCCCUCCAACUGACCGGCCUGCAGCCCGGAGACACCUCCAUGUACGACUGUGCCAGAGACACACUAUGA